AUCUUAAAUGAGGAUAUCAUUAGUAAGCAAUAUUAUGUCUAAAAUACAUGCCAUGUAUGAUCCAAUCAGAAACAUUGUAGAUGCUACCAUUAUCAUUAUUAGUUAGUAUGUCACAUACAUACUUUUUAUAGGUACUUAUGUACUUGGCACAAGGACUACAAUGUGGUGUUAAAGAGUGAGGUUUGAUGUGAUUGGUAAUUACAGCUGGAAAUGAUUUGCUGAUUCAGCAAUACUUUUGCUUGAAAUUGGAAUGUGAAAUAUAAUUAGAGGCAAUUCUGGAUUUAGAUUGUUGAAACUAAAUUAAUUUCUUUCUUAAUGUUUUGUUGCAGCUCCUGGAUUAGUAGUUGUAUCAUGCAGUAGUAGGUGCCAGUUUACAUCUGCAUAGGUUUCAUAUUAUUGUAGUCUUAGCAAUGGAAUAUGUAGUUAUGAUUCUAGGUUACAUACUGUAGAUUAGCUUGAUGAUUAUAUCAUUAAUAAUGGCCACAGUCUUGUAAACUGUGGAAAAGUUUGAGAGCUGUGAGCGGGAAAGUGGCAACUGAAGCUGAAUGUAAACUUAAAUUGUUUCAGAACCGGACAUAGAUAUUAGUAAUGACAACUAAUGAUUAAUAAUUAUGAGUUAGGCUAUGAAUAUAAUUAAUGAUUCAAAAAUUCAAAAACUGUUUUUAUAAUG